GAUGAACGCUAGCGACAGGCCUAACACAUGCAAGUCGAGGGGCAGCAUAAAGGUAGCAAUACUUUGGUGGCGACCGGCGCACGGGUGAGUAACGCGUAUGCAACCUACCUGUAAGAGGGGAAUAACCCGUUAGAAAAACGGACUAAUACCGCAUAACACUGUAGAACCGCAUGGUUUGACAGUUAAACAUUUAUGGCUUACAGAUGGGCAUGCGCAUGAUUAGCUAGUUGGUGAGGUAACGGCUCACCAAGGCAACGAUCAUUAGGGGUUCUGAGAGGAAGGUCCCCCACACUGGUACUGAGACACGGACCAGACUCCUACGGGAGGCAGCAGUGAGGAAUAUUGGUCAAUGGGCGAGAGCCUGAACCAGCCAAGUCGCGUGAAGGAUGAAGGUUUUAUGAAUUGUAAACUUCUUUUGCAGGGGAAUAAAGUGUCCGACGUGUCGGAUUUUGUAUGUACUCUGCGAAUAAGGAUCGGCUAACUCCGUG
rnacentral:rRNA from 1 species